AAUAAUCGCGACAUUUUAUGCUGCUCCUCUUUACUAAGUGAAGGUUCAAGAGAAAGAAAAACUGGAUCUACGAUGGCUCCCAAAGGUGAUAAAAAGGCGCGUAGGGUUAAGAAAAUAAAGCUUCACCCGAGGCAAGAAAUGGAGAAAAUAAAAGUUUGGUCGGCGGUGUUAGUCGAGAUGACCGCUGUGCAAACGGAGCUGUUAGAUGACCUGGACCCAGAUUCGAACAGCCAAGAUC